ensembl:lncRNA
GCUAUCAAACUCUUGCAGCAACACGAAAAUUCAGCCUUUUUCGGCAUGAGAAUCUUUACAGAUUUCUGAAUGCGAUUUUUCUGUUCAGACAAAUGCAUAAAAACAGACCUUAUACUUAGUAUUUAUUUUUCAGUUCUAUUCAUGGAACAAACCAGCCUUUCUCAAAGAAGAAGAAAAAAAAAAACUUCUCUUUGAAACUUUUAUUUGUUGUUUGAUGAAGAAUAAGGCCAGACAACUAGUUAUUUCCAACCUCUGUUUUGAUGUUUCUUCUAGGAUAUCUUGAUGUUUGAAGCUACAACAGCAAAGCCUUUGAUAAGAUGUUCUUGGUCACACUUCAAAAGGGAAAAGAUGCUGAACUAAUGUCAGUUCACCUGCAAGACAGUAAUAACAGGGUGAUGACAGGGGUCGACCAUGGGACACAUGACUUUAUGGGAGACCAUGUUUGUAUCAUAAGUUGAUGUCAAAGAGUUAGAGAGCGGUUCAUGGAAAUUAUUAGCUCUUCUCUUUAUUUCAUUUAAUCUCAUUAAUGAAGCACAACAGCUAUGUAUAGUAAAAUGGAAUUCAACAAUCACCCAAUUAAUCCUUAUAAUGUUUGUAUCAAAUGUGACACAUACACAUACAUUUAUCAAGAAAUGAAAUCAUGUUGUCAUUGACCUGGAAAUGUCUAAACUGAUUUGAAAGAAAACUGCAUUCAAAAACAAGAAGUGUUUGAUCGGAAGGCCUCAGGCAGUGUUUAAACUUGCAGUAUGCUGAAGGUAUGAUAAAUCUUUGGAAUGUCUUUCAGCCAUGAGCUUUAGUUUUAUGUUUCCUCUCUCAAAGCAAAGACAUCUCCUGGAAACUAUGCCAGAAUACACUUUACUUCUGCCAGGGCAAGACUCACUUGUCUACUGGUGCCUACUCAGUAUGUCAGUGUGUCAAGGACUGAGGGGCUUUUAUAGGGGCUUAUAAAAAGAAUGACAGCUGGGAUAUGGGACUACAUUCACAUGCAGCUACUAAAGGGAAUGCCCCUCGUCAAACCACACUUUCAUAGAAUGUUUUUUUUUUUUUUAACUGAAUGGAACAGAAUGGACAGGUCUGCAACACAUCUUGAAGUUGAACUGUUUUUCAUUGAUACUUUGAUAUCUUUAAAAGCAUGGCACUGA